GGCGGACUCGGGGGUGCUGUUAAAGCGGGGUUCCUGCCGUUCCACUUGGCUGCGGGUCCGCAAGGCCCGGCCCCAGCUCAUCCUCAGCCGCCGGCCCCGCCGCCGGCUCGGGAGCCUGCGCUGGUGCGGUCGGCGGCGCCUACGGCGGCGGUUACUGCAAGCCCAGGCAGCCGGCGUGGACUGGAGGGAGGGAGCCCGCCAGGUGUCGCGCGCGGCGGCGGCCCGGAGACCCAACACCGCAACCCCCAGCCCGAUCCCUAGCCCGACCCCGGCCUCCGAACCCGAAUCCGAACCCGAAUUCGAAUCCGCCUCGAGUUGCCACUGGCCUCUCCUCAUCCCACCGGUGCGGCCCGUGGGCCCCGGCCGCGCGUUGCUGCUGCUGCCUGUCGAGCAGAUGACAGGCGUUGGUCGAUGCAGAAUUUUUCUCCUCAGUGUUCCAUUGUGUUGCUAGAACAUCUGAAAACUGCCACUGUAAACUUCAUAACCAGCUAUCCGGGUUCAUCCUACAUUUUUGUGCAAGAGGUAGAACCCGUUUUCAUUCAGAGUUUUGCUAAUUACUUGCACCAAAACAGUGAUUUCAAAUGACUAUGUAGGAUGUUGUCUUGGAAGAACAGUUGGUCUAUCUAGUGCUCUCAGUCCUACAGAAUGUAAUACGUGUAUACGGAAACUAUUGUAGAAAGGUAUAUCGUGAAAAAUGUUCAUCCUCCCCUCCUUAGUUUCAUACCUGAGCC
rnacentral:sRNA from 1 species